GCCGAGGUAGCUCAGUUGGGAGAGCACUCGGCUGAAGACCGAGUUGUCGCUGGUUCAAGUCCGGCCCUCGGCACCA
rnacentral:tRNA from 1 species